rnacentral:siRNA from 1 species
AAUCCUACAAUUUUGGUCUCAUG